CGGAUUAAGUGGCGAACGGGUGAGUAAUACGUGAGUAACCUGCCCUUGACUCUGGGAUAAGCCUGGGAAACUGGGUCUAAUACUGGAUACUACGUCCUGCCGCAUGGUGGGGGGUGGAAAGGGUUUUACUGGUUUUGGAUGGGCUCACGGCCUAUCAGCUUGUUGGUGGGGUAAUGGCUCACCAAGGCGACGACGGGUAGCCGGCCUGAGAGGGUGACCGGCCACACUGGGACUGAGACACGGCCCAGACUCCUACGGGAGGCAGCAGUGGGGAAUAUUGCACAAUGGGCGGAAGCCUGAUGCAGCGACGCCGCGUGAGGGAUGACGGCCUUCGGGUUGUAAACCUCUUUCAGUAGGGAAGAAGCGAGAGUGACGGUACCUGCAGAAGAAGCGCCGGCUAACUACGUGCCAGCAGCCGCGGUAAUACGUAGGGCGCAAGCGUUGUCCGGAAUUAUUGGGCGUAAAGAGCUCGUAGGCGGUUUGUCGCGUCUGCUGUGAAAGCCCGGGGCUCAACCCCGGGUCUGCAGUGGGUACGGGCAGACUAGAGUGCAGUAGGGGAGACUGGAAUUCCUGGUGUAGCGGUGAAAUGCGCAGAUAUCAGGAGGAACACCGAUGGCGAAGGCAGGUCUCUGGGCUGUUACUGACGCUGAGGAGCGAAAGCAUGGGGAGCGAACAGGAUUAGAUACCCUGGUAGUCCAUGCCGUAAACGUUGGGCACUAGGUGUGGGGGACAUUCCACGUUUUCCGCGCCGUAGCUAACGCAUUAAGUGCCCCGCCUGGGGAGUACGGCCGCAAGGCUAAACUCAAAGGAAUUGACGGGGGCCCGCACAAGCGGCGGAGCAUGCGGAUUAUUUCGAUGCAACGCGAAGAACCUUACCAAGGCUUGACAUUCACCGGACUGCCCCAGAGAUGGGGUUUCCCUUCGGGGUCGGUGGACAGGGGG
rnacentral:rRNA from 1 species